rnacentral:misc_RNA from 1 species
AUUUAGAGGAAGGAGAAGUCGUAACAAGGUUUCCGUAGGUGAACCUGCGGAAGGAUCAUUGUCGAUGCCUAAACAUCAAACGACCCGUGAACACGUUUACAAAACCUUUCGUGCCGAGGGGGUGGGAGCAUCUUCUUGCCCUGCCCCCUCGGUGCCUAAACAAACCCCGGCGCAGGUCGUGCCAAGGAACUCAAACGAAUUCGCUUACCCCUUGCCUCGUUCUCGAUGUGCGGGGGUGGAGCAUUCUUGUCGUAUUAUUCACAACGACUCUCGGCAACGGAUAUCUCGGCUCUCGCAUCGAUGAAGAACGUAGCGAAAUGCGAUACUUGGUGUGAAUUGCAGGAUCCCGCGAACCACCGAGUCUUUGAACGCAAGUUGCGCCCGGAGCCUUCUGGCCGAGGGCACGUCUGCCUGGGCGUCACGCAUCGCUGGAAACCCCUAUCGGGUUGGUUGCCUUGAGGGGGCACACGUUGGCCUCCCGUGCGCACCGUCGCACGGAUGGCUUAAAUUUGAGUCCAUGGCGCCUGUCGUCGCGACACUACGGUGGUCGAGCCAACCUCGGUACUGUGUCGCGACCUCAGUUUGUGCACCUCCUCCAUCGUGAGUGAGUGAUGACUCCUACGUUGAACCUCUGAACAUCGUCCCCAAGGAUGAUGCUCUCGACGCGACCCCAGGUCAGGCGGGACUACCCGCA